rnacentral:rRNA from 1 species
GUGAAUCAUCGAAUCUUUGAACGCACAUUGCACUCCUUUGGAGUAUGCCUGUUUGAGAAUCUAUAGUAUUUAUUUUUGGUUAUUUCGCAAAAGAUAAUCAAGAGAUUUGAGGUGUCUCUUUCGAGAGUACCUUUAAUGUUAUAGCCUCUUUUGUGGUAAAACAACUCUGCAGAACAGUAUUUGAAUGGAACUUUUGUUUCUUUAAUUGCCUAAUACGCAGACUUACCUAUUGAGAAGGGGGUCCAUAAACUUAAAGUAGUACCUGCGGUGCUGCUUGAACCAUGGUCUCAAAUCAGGUAGGAAGACCCGCUGAACUUAAGCAUAUCAAUAAGCGGAGG